rnacentral:rRNA from 1 species
GACGAACGCUGGCGGCGUGCUUAACACAUGCAAGUCGAGCGAGGCCCCUCCUUCGGGAGGGUGUCCUAGCGGCGAACGGGUGAGUAACACGUGGGCAACCUGCCCUCAGCUCUGGGAUAACUCCGGGAAACCGGGGCUAAUACCGGAUACGACCUCCACGGGCAUCUGCGGAGGUGGAAAGUUUUUCGGCUGAGGAUGGGCCCGCGGCCUAUCAGCUAGUUGGUGGGGUAGUGGCCCACCAAGGCGACGACGGGUAGCCGGCCUGAGAGGGCGACCGGCCACACUGGGACUGAGACACGGCCCAGACUCCUACGGGAGGCAGCAGUGGGGAAUAUUGCGCAAUGGGCGAAAGCCUGACGCAGCGACGCCGCGUGAGGGACGAAGGCCUUCGGGUUGUAAACCUCUUUCAGCAGGGACGAAGCGAAAGUGACGGUACCUGCAGAAGAAGCACCGGCCAACUACGU